AUUCUACUGAGAGUUUGAUCCUGGCUCAGGAUGAACGCUGGCGGCGUGUCUUAGGCAUGCAAGUCGAACGGAUAUAAAUUUGAGAUUACAUCAAGAGUUUAUAUUAGUGGCAAACGGGUGCGUAACACCCUGGUAACCUACCCCGAAGUUCGGAAUAAUUCACCGAAAGGUGAACUAAUACCGGAUGUAGUCCGUCCGCCUCAGGCGGACGGAAAAAAGCUUUACGGCGCUUUGGGAGGGGCCUAGGUUCCAUCAGCUUGUUGGUGAGGUAACGGCUCACCAAGGCUACGACGGAUAGGGGGCGUGAGAGCGCGACCCCCCUCACUGGGACUGCGACACUGCCCAGACUCCUACGGGAGGCUGCAGUCAAGAAUCUUCCCCAAUGGACGAAAGUCUGAGGGAGCGACGCCGCGUGUAGGAAGAAGCCCUUCGGGGUGUAAACUACUUUUCUAUAGGACGAACAAUGACGGUACUAUAGGAAUAAGGGGCUGCUAACUCUGUGCCAGCAGCAGCGGUAAUACAGAGACCCCGAGCGUUAUCCGGAUUUAUUGGGCGUAAAGAGUCUGUAGGCGUCUUGUUAAGUCCUUGGUUAAAUCCCACCGCUCAACGGUGGACCAGCCAGGGAAACUAGCAGGAUUGAGGUUGGGAGAGGUAAGCGGAAUUGCCGGUGUAGUAGUAAAAUGCGUUAAUAUCGGCAAGAACACCAAAGGCGAAGGCAGCUUACUAGAACAAACCUGACGCUGAGAGACGAAAGCGUGGGGAGCGAAUGGGAUUAGAUACCCCAGUAGUCCACGCCGUAAACGAUGGAUGCUAGGCUUUGGCAGUAUCGACCCUGCCAGAGUCGUUCAAACAAGUUAACACCUUAAGCAUCCCGCCUGGGGAGUACGGCCGCAAGGCUAAAACUCAAAGGAAUUGACGGGAACCCGCACAAGCGGUGGAGCAUGUGGUUCAAUUCGACAAUAAGCGAAGAACCUUACCAAGGCUUGACAUGUUAGCGUUCUAUUUCCGGGAAACCGGAGAAAUCCGCAAGGAGGCUAACACAGGUGCUGCAUGGCUGUCGUCAGCUCGUGUCGUGAGAUGUUGGGUUAAGUCCUCUAACGAGCGCAACCCCUAUGUUGUGUUAACACGUUCACAACAAACUGCCCCGGUUAACGGGGAGGAAGGUGGGGAUGACGUCAAGUCAGCAUGGCCCUUAUGCCUUGGGCUACACACGUGCUACAAUGGGGUGCAACAAAGAGUCGCUAAAUCGCGAGAUGGAGCUAAUCUCAUCAAACCACCCCCCAGUUCGGAUUGCAGGCUGCAACUCGCCUGCAUGAAGCCGGAAUCGCUAGUAAACGCGCGUCAGCCAUAGUGCGUUGAAUACGUUCUCGGGUUUUGUACACACCGCCCGUCACGCCAAGAGAGUCGAUAAUACCCGAAGGCGCUUGAAGCGUCCGAAGGUAGGAUCGAUGAUAGGGGCGAAGUCGUAACAAGGCAGCCGUAGCGGAAGCUGUGGCUGGAUCACCUCCUUUCUAGGGAGUAA
rnacentral:rRNA from 1 species